UACGUAGGGUGCGAGCGUUGUCCGGAAUUAUUGGGCGUAAAGAGCUCGUAGGCGGUUUGUCACGUCUGCUGUGAAAACUGGAGGCUCAACCUCCAGCCUGCAGUGGGUACGGGCAGACUAGAGUGCGGUAGGGGAGAUUGGAAUUCCUGGUGUAGCGGUGGAAUGCGCAGAUAUCAGGAGGACACCGGUGGCGAAGGCGGAUCUCUGGGCCGAUACUGACGCUGAGGAGCGAAAGCGUGGGGAGCGAACAGG
rnacentral:rRNA from 1 species